AUGGUCAAAAUAAUAAGGGAGCACGCACCAAUCGAGCAGUUUUCCGUUUGGUUUUCCUCUUCGGAACAUUGUGCGUUAGCCUUGAGGCCCUUGAGUGAGGCCGAGGAGCUUCCAUUUGGAGCUACGAAGGAGCACACAUUCUCUUCUUUUUUCUUUAACACAGGGAGCACGCACUCUGACAACAUGAGACCCGAGCAGCAAGCCUGCCCGCGGUUCAGGCAAAAACAAAGCAUAACCGAGCAACAAAAAAUCCUGGAUAUUACUGCAUCAGCCUCAAGAAAUGGGACACCGCCCUACAAUUUUUUUGCUCAGGAGCGUACACAGACGAGGAGCACCCCGAGUGCUCUCAGAGAGAAACUAAAGAAAAGGGAAAUGGAAGGGGGAACAGUAAAAACAGAACAGCAUCGCGAGGGCGAGUCGCAGCAUGUCAAAACUGGGAUCCAUCCACGAAGGGCUUCAGAGGCACAGCGGGUCGACGGCCGCCUCCCCCGGCAACGGAUCAGGCCGUCAGGCAGAUCAGAUGUUACAGCCGCAGCAGAGGAAGAAGCCACAGAGCGCGGCGGAGAGGACGACGGCCUCGGCGGCGUAGAGGACGUGGAAGAGCGCGUCGUCGAGGAGCGAGACCACGACCCCGGCCUUCUCCUCCCACCUCCACUGGUACGCCCGCGCGCUCUGCACCUGCACCUCCACGACCUUGAACCACCCGAGCGCCAUGGCCUCCUGCUCUUCGACCUCCGGCCCGGACGGAUGGCUCUUUCUGGUGGCGGAUGCGCGGUUGACUCGAUUUAA
rnacentral:rRNA from 1 species